rnacentral:rRNA from 1 species
CAGUAGCCGCGAUAAUACAGAGGGUGCGAGCGUUAAUCGGAUUUACUGGGCGUAAAGCGUGCGUAGGCGGCUUCUUAAGUCGGAUGUGAAAUCCCUGAGCUUAACUUAGGAAUUGCAUUCGAUACUGGGAAGCUAGAGUAUGGGAGAGGAUGGUAGAAUUCCAGGUGUAGCGGUGAAAUGCGUAGAGAUCUGGAGGAAUACCGAUGGCGAAGGCAGCCAUCUGGCCUAAUACUGACGCUGAGGUACGAAAGCAUGGGGAGCAAACAGGAUUAGAUACCCCUGUAGUCCCUGUCUCUUAUAC